GCAAAACCAGUUUGAAUUAAAGCCAGAACCACGACACAGCAAAGUCAGAGACCAAAGCCACCCCUUGGCCUCCCCUGCCCUUCUCCCCAGCUCCCCAUCCAGAGACUCCCAGGGAUUCCAGGGGCACACAAAGGCAGCCUGCAUUCAACCAGCAUCCCACAGAUUUCAUUUGGAUGGCUUCUCCCAGGAAUCUGGAGGCAGCAAGUGCCCUGGGAAUGUUCCUUCCACACUGGAACCAUCAUCCCUUUACCCCCUAAACCCCAGCAGGCACCACUGGGAUGGAGCAGCUCACAUCUGCAUCCAGGACAGGAUCCCCAGGGUUCCCAAGCCACCAGGAUUCCUGGAUAAGAGUAUUAUUUCUGAAGUGUUUAAGGCACUGGGAGCUGAAGGGGAUGAAGUGGUGCUGCACUCAGCCAAUCCUGCACUGAGGCCUCAGCCAAGCCCUUCUGCAGCAGGGAUGAAGCUUUCAUUAAAAAAAACAGAGUUUUCACCUCUUGAAAUGAAGCUCCUCACUCUCACCAAAUCAAACAUUACCACAGCUUUGCUUUGCUGCUGUUACAGGAACCAUGUGGGAGCCCUGGCUUCACAUUCUCCAACCCUAAAGCUUUAAAUCCCCACUUAUUCUGCAUCCCCCUAAGAGCUGCUGUGCUUUUGGCUUUUAACAGAGCGGGACCAAAGCAAUGUGGGGUUGGAAAGAGCCACUCCACCAGCUCCUCACCCUGCUGCUCCCACUCUACACAAUUCCAACACCUUUCCCUGUAAAUGAAGCCUCUGCUCAACACCUUCCUCCUUCCAACACCUCUUUCAUUUUCACCUCUUCUGCCACCAAGAAACAACCUGGCAGCAUGUGGUGCUCACACCUCCCAUCCCACCUGCUGGAACAAAGCUCUUCUCCACACCUGCAGGAUCUCAAGGAGAGUCCUGCCCUGUCUAUGCCACCAAUUCCUUAUCCUUAUUUAGCAAAAUGGGAGUGCUUGUCCCUCCUUCCUUUCCUUCUGCAGAGGAGCAAACAGCUCAGGAGCUCCCAUUUCCCACAUCCCAGCCCAUGGAUGGGCACCACCA